rnacentral:misc_RNA from 1 species
UAAUAAGUGUUUUAUGGCACUUUUUAAAUCCAUAUCCACCUUGUGUGCAAUGUCAGUCGAUCUUCUUCAUGGAGAUCGACCAAACAUCAACCUUAUCUUUUAACUCUUUGUCUGAAAAAUAUUAUGAAUAAACAAUUCAAAAUA